GGGCGGCUAGCUCAGUGGUAGAGCACUGCCUUCACACGGCAGGGGUCGCAGGUUCGAACCCUGCGCCGCCCACCA
rnacentral:tRNA from 1 species